GACGAACGCUGGCGGCGUGCUUAACACAUGCAAGUCGAACGGAAAGGCCCUGCUUUUGUGGGGUGCUCGAGUGGCGAACGGGUGAGUAACACGUGAGUAACCUGCCCUUGACUUUGGGAUAACUUCAGGAAACUGGGGCUAAUACCGGAUAGGAGCUCCUGCUGCAUGGUGGGGGUUGGAAAGUUUCGGCGGUUGGGGAUGGACUCGCGGCUUAUCAGCUUGUUGGUGGGGUAGUGGCUUACUAAGGCUUUGACGGGUAGCCGGCCUGGGAGGGUGACCGGCGACAAGGGGCCUGCGGGAGGGACCAGAGUGGAACGGGGGGCAGCGGGGGGAAAUAUUGCACAAUGGGAGGAAGCGGGAUGAGGAAGCGCCGGGGGCGGGAUGACGGCCUGCGGGUUGAAAACCGCUUCAGCCUGAGACGAAGCGGGAGUGACGGUAAUGGAAAAAGAAGCACCGGCUAACUACGUG
rnacentral:rRNA from 1 species